rnacentral:rRNA from 1 species
CCUACGGGGGGCAGCAGUGGGGAAUAUUGCACAAUGGGGGAAACCCUGAUGCAGCGACGCCGCGUGAGUGAAGAAGUAUUUCGGUAUGUAAAGCUCUAUCAGCAGGGAAGAAAGUGACGGUACCUGAGUAAGAAGCCCCGGCUAACUACGUGCCAGCAGCCGCGGUAAUACGUAGGGGGCAAGCGUUAUCCGGAUUUACUGGGUGUAAAGGGAGCGUAGACGGCAGUGCAAGUCUGAAGUGAAAGCCCCGGGCUUAACCCGGGAACUGCUUUGGAAACUGUACGGCUGGAGUGCUGGAGAGGUAAGCGGAAUUCCUAGUGUAGCGGUGAAAUGCGUAGAUAUUAGGAGGAACACCAGUGGCGAAGGCGGCUUACUGGACAGUAACUGACGUUGAGGCUCGAAAGCGUGGGGAGCAAACAGGAUUAGAUACCCCUGUAG